UACGUAGGGUGCAAGCGUUAAUCGGAAUUACUGGGCGUAAAGCGUGCGCAGGCGGUUUUGUAAGCCAGAUGUGAAAAGCCCCCGGGCGUCAACCUGGGAACGUGCGUUUGGAACUACAAGACUAGAGUGUGUCAGAGGGGGUGGAAUUCCGCGUGUAGCAGUGAAAUAGCGUAGAGAUGCGGAGGAACACCGAUGGCGAAGGCAGCCCCCUGGGAUAACACUAACGCUCAUGCACGAAAGACGU
rnacentral:rRNA from 1 species